GAGGGAUCAGAGUCGUCACCUGUGUCUCUGAGAGACUGGCCACUCAGGCCUGAGCUGAGAUUAGCUACUCUGACUGCAAAUACUACAGCACCACAUGCUUCUCAGACUGGUGGAUGCACAGCUCCACUUCUUUGCAGAGAGGAUGCACAACAGCAGAAUAUCCGUGGCCCUACUUUCUGGAGCAUCAGUAUUACUACAAGAUUUAGAAGAAGCAAAGUUAUGUCAUUUCCGAGUCCCACAGGUCUUGAGUGCAUGCUGUGAACACUGCACUGUGCUAGGUGUCGAGGCCUUGGUGAGCAUCAUCGUGGGAGUGGAACUUGCUGGAGAAAGAUGACAUCAUAAAAUCUCAAAACCAUGCCA